CAAUUUGACUGGGGCCAGGAAAGUUUUAUUUGUAGAGGCUAAACUAAAAGGCACAGCUCGAGUUUGGUGGAUCAAGCAACAACAACAAAAUCGGACCUGUGGCAUUGGUUUAGUUACUACUUAGGCUGAAAUGCAUGAAGUCAUGAACAAAAUAUUCUUGCCUAUUGACUACAAGCAAUGCAUGCACCUCAGGUUUGCACAGUUGAAACAGGAGAAUUGAUCCUGGAAGAAUA